rnacentral:rRNA from 1 species
GGGGUCAGUAGGUUGGUCGUGCCACCGGUACGUACUGGUCUCACUGAUUCCUCCUUCCUGAAGAACCGUAAUGCCAUUAAUUUGGUGUUGCGGGGAAACAGGACUGUUACUUUGAAGAAAUUAGAGUGUUUAAAGCAAGCUAACGCUUGAAUACAUUAGCAUGGAAUAAUGAAAUAGGACGAUCGAUCCUAUUUUGUUGGUUUCUAGGAUUGACGUA